GAUGAACGCUGGCGGCGUGCUUAACACAUGCAAGUCGAACGGAACUACUCCAAUGAGAGUCUUCGGAAAGGAUUUGGUUUAGUUUAGUGGCGGACGGGUGAGUAACGCGUGGGUAACCUGCCCUAUACAGGGGGAUAACAGUUGGAAACGACUGUUAAUACCGCAUAAGCGCACAGGAGCGCAUGCUCCGGUGUGAAAAACUCCGGUGGUAUAGGAUGGACCCGCGUCUGAUUAGCUGGUUGGCGGGGUAACGGCCCACCAAGGCGACGAUCAGUAGCCGGGCUGAGAGGGUGAACGGCCACAUUGGGACUGAGACACGGCCCAAACUCCUACGGGAGGCAGCAGUGGGGAAUAUUGCACAAUGGGGGAAACCCUGAUGCAGCGACGCCGCGUGAGCGAAGAAGUAUCUCGGUAUGUAAAGCGCUAUCAGCAGGGAAGAAAAUGACGGUACCUGACUAAGAAGCCCCGGCUAACUACGUG
rnacentral:rRNA from 1 species